rnacentral:rRNA from 1 species
UGGGGAAUAUUGGACAAUGGGGGAAACCCUGAUCCAGCAAUGCCGCGUGAGUGAAGAAGGCCUUAGGGUUGUAAAGCUCUUUCGCCCGCGAAGAUAAUGACGGUAGCGGGAGAAGAAGCCCCGGCUAACUCCGUGCCAGCAGCCGCGGUAAUACGGAGGGGGCUAGCGUUGUUCGGAAUUACUGGGCGUAAAGCGUACGUAGGCGGAUGCGCAAGUUGGGGGUGAAAUCCCGGGGCUUAACCUCGGAAUUGCCCUCAAAACUGCACGUCUUGAGACCGAGAGAGGUAAGGGGAAUUCCUAGUGUAGAGGUGAAAUUCGUAGAUAUUAGGAAGAACACCAGUGGCGAAGGCGCCUUACUGGCUCGGUACUGACGCUGAGGUACGAAAGCGUGGGGAGCAAACG